AUUGAACGCUGGCGGCAGGCUUAACACAUGCAAGUCGAGCGGAAACGGAGGUAGCUUGCUACCAGACGUCGAGCGGCGAACGGGUGAGUAACGCGUAGGAAUCUACCUAGUAGAGGGGGAUAGCCCGGGGAAACUCGGAUUAAUACCGCAUACGCCCUAAGGGGGAAAGCAGGGGAUCUUCGGACCUUGCGCUAUUAGAUGAGCCUGCGUCGGAUUAGCUAGUUGGUAGGGUAAAGGCCUACCAAGGCGACGAUCCGUAGCUGGUCUGAGAGGAUGAUCAGCCACACUGGAACUGAGACACGGUCCAGACUCCUACGGGAGGCAGCAGUGGGGAAUAUUGGACAAUGGGGGCAACCCUGAUCCAGCCAUGCCGCGUGUGUGAAGAAGGCCUU
rnacentral:rRNA from 1 species